rnacentral:rRNA from 1 species
AUUGAACGCUGGCGGCAGGCCUAACACAUGCAAGUCGAACGGUAACAGGAAACAGCUUGCUGUUUCGCUGACGAGUGGCGGACGGGUGAGUCAUGUCUGGGAAACUGCCUGAUGGAGGGGGAUAACUACUGGAAACGGUAGCUAAUACCGCAUAACGUCGCAAGACCAAAGAGGGGGACCUUCGGGCCUCUUGCCAUCGUAUGUGCCCAGAUGGGAUUAGCUAGUAGGUGGGGUAACGGCUCACCUAGGCGACGAGCCCUAGCUGGUCUGAGAGGAUGACAAGCCACACUGGAACUGAGACACGGUCCAGACUCCUACGGGAGGCAGCAGUGGGGAAUAUUGGACAAUGGGCGCAAGCCUGAUGCAGCCAUGCCGCGUGUAUGAAGAAGGCCUUCGGGUUGUAAAGUACUUUCAGCGGGGAGGAAGGGAGUAAAGUUAAUACCUUUGCUCAUUGACGUUACCCGCAGAAGAAGCGCCGGCUAACUCCGUG